rnacentral:pre_miRNA from 1 species
GACAACCUCAGUGUAACUACUGUACAAUAAAUUACAAUUGUAAUUUAUUGUACAGUAGUUACACUGAGGUUGUCAAUUGUAAUU